UACGUAGGGGGCAAGCGUUGUCCGGAAUCAUUGGGCGUAAAGAGCGUGUAGGCGGCCCGGUAAGUCCGCUGUGAAAGUCGGGGGCUCAACCCUCGAAUGCCGGUGGAUACUGUCGGGCUAGAGUGCGGAAGAGGCGAGUGGAAUUCCUGGUGUAGCGGUGAAAUGCGCAGAUAUCAGGAGGAACACCCGUGGCGAAAGCGGCUCUCUGGGACGGUACUGACGCUGAGACGCGAAAGCGUGGGGAGCAAACAGG
rnacentral:rRNA from 1 species